rnacentral:misc_RNA from 1 species
GCCAAUAUAGCAUAAGUCAUUAGGCCACUUUUAGAGAAUUGUUAGUUUACCAUCUUUAAAAUAACUACAAGUAACGAAAAAAGUACUUGACUGGGAUGACUUUUUUUUAACACUGUGAGCCUUGAUGUUUUAAAGUUGUUUAUGAUGUAUUUUCUGUUUUAAUUAUGGUUGCCUUAUCUACUGAUUUAAAGUUAAAUCACUGAGAUAAGAGAGAGCAAACAUAGGAUUUAAGGUGGCCUUUAUGCUGGUGUUUAUUUGGUUAUGUUUUAUUUUAAAAUCCACAUUGAGAUAAAUAUUGUUAACCUCAUUUGUUGCUGAGCACAUCAUUUUUCUGGGCUUUUAUUACAGCUCUUUCUUGCAGAAACUUGAGACAUUUUCAUGCCACAGAAAGUUCACUAUAAAUCUGUAAUUUGGACUGAUUGAAAGAAGUACUGAAUUUUUUAUAUCCGUUGAAUAAAAAAGAGAACGAAUAUAUAUAUUUUUGUAUAAAAAGCUUGUUAAAAAGUCUCAACACAACAAUUUAGUUUAUGACUGGUACUUAGUGGUACUUUUCAUGCAGUUAACUGUAAUUUCAUGCCUUGUUUCUUCUGCUUGAAUUGUUUUAGUGUGUUAAUUGCAUUCCUUAAUCUAUAAAGUUGCUCUCUGAACUUGUAUUUUAUGCACAUUUUUACUGUAUGUACAUUUACUAUUAUGUAAUGAGAGAAAUGACAAUAAUAAAAUAUUUAUUCUUU